AUGGGGGCCGGAAAAGGGGCAGAAACGGGACGGGGGGGAGCCUCGCUGUCUUUACGCGGGUCAAUCAUAAAGAAGGGAUUAAGAUCAUUAAUUCCUCCCCCCGCUGCAAUUAACGACGGGGCCGGGCAGCGGCUGGCGAGGAGCAGCGGUAUCUGCUGUGCUGGGUGGUCCCACGGUGUCAGGGCGGGGAUCCCCCCCUUAAUGCGAACUAGCCAGGCACCCCCAGCAGCCCGGUCUGGGGUCCCUGGCGAGGACAGCGUGGGGACAGACCCGUCCCAGCUGGCACGGCCGCGGUGUCCGGCGCCUGCUGGCGCGGUGGCCCCGGGGGCUGGAGGGCAGCGCCGGGUGGCUGCAGAUGGUGGGAGCUGGCGGAGGCAAAGCGGCGGCCGGGACAAUGGCGGGAUUGUGCGGGGACGCCGCUGGCACGGCUCGGCACGGCUCGGCACGGCUCGGCGCCGCACCCCGUGCCAACAGCGGGCACUGCCUUGCGCCGCUGGGGCUGAGCGCGGCCACGGCACCGUGCCCGGCGUCUCUGUGGGUGCGGGGAGCUGCCUCGGGUGGGCUGGGGUGGCCCUGUCCCGCAGCCGCGGGUGCUCGGGGGGGCUGUGCCAGGCUGUGCAGCCAUCGCCCCGGUGGGAGGGGGCUGUGAGCGGGGGCUCCGAGCUGCUGGCACCCGAUCCGCGUGGCGUGGUGGGACCAGCCAGGGAGGCCGGCCGGUAUGUCUGGCUGCAGAACAAGAUGGGAACUGGUGGAAAUGGUGACCACAGCGCGGCUUCAGCUGGUGUCCUCCCCACUUUGGCACACGGACCCCACUGUGGGGGCUGUGGGGAGACCCAUGCGGGCAGGACCCAGGUCUUUGCCAGGGCGAUGCAGAGCAUCUCCAGCAGUCGUGGCUGGAGACCACCCGUACCUCCCCGGCAGCCCCGCGGCACGGUGGCGCCGAUGGCACAGGGCGAGCGGGCAGGGUGGCAAAUCCCGAGCCGGUCUGGCCGGGCGCUUGGCUCCCCGCAUGGCGCGGGGCGGGCGGAAGAGGCGCAGGGCCGCAGGAAAGGCGGCCGCGGGCAGGCGUGA
rnacentral:lncRNA from 13 species